UGGAUGUAAAGAGAGGAGUGCGUGUGAAUGUAUGUAGAUAUAUAGAUAUAUAGAUAUAUAUGCACACACGUAUAUGUAUACACAUUCACACGCACCCCUCUCUUCACAUCCA